rnacentral:rRNA from 1 species
GAAAUCUUCGGAGGUAUCAGAUGGGCAUGCGUCCUAUUAGCUAGUUGGCGGGGUAACGGCCCACCAAGGCGAUGAUAGGUAGGGGUUCUGAGAGGAAGGUCCCCCACAUUGGAACUGAGACACGGUCCAAACUCCUACGGGAGGCAGCAGUGAGGAAUAUUGGUCAAUGGCCGGAAGGCUGAACCAGCCAAGUCGCGUGAGGGACGACUGCCCUAUGGGUUGUAAACCUCUUUUAUAAGGGAAGAAUAAAUGCUACGUGUAGCAUGAUGCCUGUACCUUAUGAAUAAGCAUCGGCUAACUCCGUGCCAGCAGCCGCGGUAAUACGGAGGAUGCGAGCGUUAUCCGGAUUUAUUGGGUUUAAAGGGUGCGUAGGCGGUUUUUUAAGUUAGUGGUUAAACGUCGGGGCUUCACCUUGAUUUGCCAUUAAUACUGUAAGACUCGAGUUCAGACGAGGUAGGCGGAAUAAGUUAAGUAGCGGUGAAAUGCUUAGAUAUAACUUAGAACUCCGAUAGCGAAGGCAGCUUACCAGACUGCGACUGACGCUGAAGCACGAGAGCGUGGGUAGCGAACAGGAUUAGAUACCCUGGUAGUCCACGCCGUAAACGAUGCUCACUGGUUCUGUGCGACAUACCGUAC